rnacentral:lncRNA from 1 species
CAAAGAUGGUCCCGGAUAACUGCUGGUUCUAUGCAGAAGGCAGAGAGGACGCCCCUGGUUUUUCUCCCUCUCCGUGUCUCAUCACAGCCGCCUCCCCAAGAAGAGUAAGGGAAUUUGUGUUAGUGCGAAGUUUGCGCCAAGCCCUUUCCUCUUUAAAACAGACAUUACUGUAACCGCUUUCGAAGUGAGGCAACUGAAGCCCAGACAGGUUGCUUUAACUUGCCCAAAGCCUCACAGCAAAGCUGAAGAAGCAGAACUGGGAUUGGAAUCCACGUGUCUGACCCCUCCGGCAGGAUGCAGUCUGUUUAACUGGACUCGCUUCUAGACAGAGCCUUUGGCAAAGGCAGUUUAGGAGCUGGAGACUAGAGUCGCGUGGGAACCAGUCCUCGGGAUAUGAGCUGCACAGAAUCUCCCACAAUCUCAGAUGCGGUCCACGGAAAGUAAUGAGAAGUUGGCUAAGAAAUGUUUUUAAAAACAGCAUAAACAGUAUCGGAUCCACCCAGGAACCUGCUCGGUUGUGGCCUGUGAUCCAUCAGAGGCAGAGGGUCUGUAGUGAGCUUUCUAGUGAGCCUCCUUGUUGGCGGAGGCCUUCGCUAUGGCCCAUCUUCUCGCCUAGGGGGACUAGUUGGGCACCUGGAGUUUCUGCCCACGGCCGGGCAGGUUCCCAGAAAAGGAAAGGUGUGAAAUUGACCUUCUUUUGAGCGGGCUGGGACUCCAGGGCUGGUCGCCUCUUAGGGACUAGGGCUCAGGAAGGUAAGAAGCAUCACCAGGGACCACUGGGUGAGAAGCAGAGCAGGUUGUAGGUUCCACGCCUCCUGAGUCCUGUGCUCUUUUUGCCAAAUCCAUGCCAAUGUGGGAGGGUUCUGUGACUAUAUCACUGUUGACCUCGCAGAGAAAGAGAACACAAGUCUUACUAACCUGAGAAUUUAUAGACUCUGCCCCAAGGUACAUGAAAACCCUAGUGGAAGCCUGAGCUCUUGGAGCCAGGAAGUGGCAAGUUUUAACUCCACCAGGAGCUGGCUGGGCGGCCUCUGAGCCUCAGUUUUAUCAUCAGCAAAACAGGGCUAACAGUACAUUCUCCAAGGAUUGAUAAACUCACCCCUACACAUCUUGCAGCACGGGGCCCAGCCUUCGUAAGCACUGACUAAAUAGUAGCCCUGACUGGUAUUAAUAAACUAGUUUAAAUGAUGUUGAAAAAAUAAUCUAUGCAGGCUGAUUCCCCGCUCCCUGCUGGAAGAUCUCAAAGGACUGUGGCCAGGUCUGGAAGGGUACCACCCUCCUGGUUGGAGGGCUUUGCAGUUACUAUUCAGGGUCUGGUUGGUAGCAUCCUUUGCAUCUGUGGUCAGUUAACAAGAACAGAGGUAAUGCCAGCAGACAUAACAUAAAACAGUGGCACCUUAAUUUUAUUUUAAGUACUCUACAG